GGAUUCCCCUAGUAACUGCGAGUGAAGCGGGAAAAGCUCAAAUUUAAAAUCUGGCGGUCUUUGGCCGUCCGAGUUGUAGUCUGGAGAAGUGCUUUCCGCGCUGGACCGUGUACAAGUCUCUUGGAACAGAGCGUCAUAGAGGGUGAGAAUCCCGUCUUUGACACGGACUACCAGUGCUUUGUGAUGCGCUCUCAAAGAGUCGAGUUGUUUGGGAAUGCAGCUCAAAAUGGGUGGUGAAUUCCAUCUAAAGCUAAAUAUUGGCGAGAGACCGAUAGCGAACAAGUACCGUGAGGGAAAGAUGAAAAGCACUUUGGAAAGAGAGUUAAACAGUACGUGAAAUUGCUGAAAGGGAAACGCUUGAAGUCAGUCGCGUUGUCCGGAACUCAGCCUUGCUUCGGCUUGGUGCAUUUUCCGGGCGACGGGCCAGCAUCGAUUUUGACCGUCGGAAAAGGGCUGAGGGAAUGUGGCACCUUCGGGUGUGUUAUAGCCUUCAGUCGCAUACGGCGGUUGGGAUCGAGGAACGCAGCACGCCUUAUGGCUGGGGUUCGCCCACAUUCGUGCUUAGGAUGCUGGCAUAAUGGCUUUAAACGACCCGUCUUGAAACACGGACCAAGGAGUCUAACAUGCCUGCGAGUGUUUGGGUGGAAAACCCGAGCGCGUAAUGAAAGUGAAAG
rnacentral:rRNA from 1 species